ACCGUGACCAACUUCCCAAACUCAAUGUCCACCAGAAUCCACAUGUGGUUCCUCGAAAGAAGUGAAGUAGAAGAGGAUCCAAGUUUUGAAUGCCUACAUGUCUCAGAGGUAGAAAUCUCCACCAUAAUCAGAUACAAUCGCGUUGGACAUAAGAUUGAGGAAAUCUGACCGCCUCAUUUUUAUUCCAGGAGCUGGAAAACAAUAGCUGUAUUGUUCAAUCGAUCUUACAAGGGUUAUAUGACUCGAUCAAUGAGCAUAUCAGCUGAUGGACUCCUAUUUCCUAGAUGAGUGGUGGCGAUGAGAUCGAAAGUAGAUGUGGCCUAGGUUUUUCAUCGACAAUUGGUAUGGUGUGGGUGCGGAGGAAACAGGAAGCUACACGAGAACAAAGAACUCAAGAAGUUCGUGGAGCGUUCGAGUCUCACGUUUCUUUAUUUUCUGGUUCCCAAUAUGGUGUUGCUGCUGCGACAUGGAUUUUAGUCUCGAGCUUCAUCGGAGAAGAAAGAUCGCCAGAUAGGGAGCAUCGGUCGGAGAUGAAGAUAACAUUGGAAGAUUAUUUGUGUUGGAUGCGUUUUUCUGGAAAUGAAUUGUGUCGACGUUUAAUAAGGAGGUAAGACGUAAUUUCAAGUUAAUAGUUAGGUCAAAUAUUAUUUGGGCUUAAGUUAAAGCUAAGUUUUGGGCUAUCUAAUUAGUUUAGUAUUUUUAAAACCAAACAUCUAUUUCUUUUGCAUAUUGGAUUCAUCUAAUUAAUACCUUAUUUAAUUUUUGAGAAAUAGAUAACGCAAAAUUAUAUAGAUUAAAAGGAUAUUAGUUUAUAAGAAUGUAUUUUAUAAAUAGAACACAACUUUUCAACAACAUUUUGUAUCUAUAAAAGAGAUAUCAUAUAAAUAUAAUGAAUAUUUUUUUUAAAUACAUUUAAUCAUUUGUGAUUAAUAGAUAUAAUCAUAUUUGAUUAUAAAUCAUAUGUAAUUAAAAGAUAUAAUGUAACAUCCCAAAAAUACAGUCUAAAAAUUUCGUUUUAAAUUAAUAAUAAAACCAUAGUCAUCGAACAUCAUAUAGAAAUCAUAAACAGUGUAUCUCAAAAUAUCAUAAUAAUUGUCAAAAUAUCAGAGUAUAAACUUCCCAGGCUAAAAAGAUGGUGUGUGCACUGCAAUCUUCCUGAGCUCCUCUUUUGAAAACUGAGUACCUGAAACCAAAACUGAAAUUGUAAGCAUGAAGCUUAGUGAGCUCCCCCAAACUACCACAUACCAUACAAUAACAUAUAAAGCACAUACUGGGUCUUGCUCACUGCAUCAGACCGAAGUCCGGAACUAACUAGGGCCUUGCCCUCUACAUCGGACCGAAGUCCGGAACUGACUAGGGCCUUGUUCUUUGCAUCAAACUGAUGUCCGAAACUGACUAGGGCCUUGCCCACUGCAUCGGACCAAAGUAUGGAACUAACUAGGGCCUUGCCCACUGCAUCAGACCGAAGUCCGGAACUAACUAGGGCCUUGCCUACUGCAUCGGACCGAAAUCCGGAACUAACUAGGGCCUUGCCCACUGCAUCGGACCGAAGUCCGGAUCUGACUGAACAUAGCAUAACAUAAUCAUAACAUAUACAAUAACACAUAUACUGCAUCGGACCGCAGUCCGCAACACAUAACACAUAGACAUGCAUGAAUCACAAAGACAUCAAGCAUACUGAACUACUUCUCGGGACCACCCCAGCAUCGGACCGAAGUCUGGAACUACUGCUAUCUAAUCGGGUCGGCAUUGUGGGUGUAGACCAGUUCCUACUCGAAGGAAACUCACCUCACAUGCUGAAGUCCCGCUGACAAAACCAUAGCUAUUGGAUGACAGAUUCCCGAUCUGUCAAUAUCAAAAUAACACCCAAUUAAUAAUUGGGUUCCAACUCAUAGUCAUAAGUCCAUGCUUGGGUAAGAGAUUACCUUACCCCAAUGUUAGCUUGAAUCAAGCCCAAGGCCCAAUCCAAAGGCCCAAAGGUCUAAUAAUGGACCAAAGCCCAACUAUGGCCCAUUUAUGGCCCAAUUUUCCCAAUUGGGCCCAAAUCUCUACAUGGUCUUGAUCAAAAGCCCAACCAUUUAGUUCAGUCCAACAUUUGGCAUUCUAAUGGCCCAUUAUCAUAUAACCAUCAAGGCCCAAACUAUGACCCAAUUUUCCAAAUUGGGCCCAAACCCUCAUAUGGGCCUUACCCUAAGACCAUUAAAUUAUUCUAAUCCGUUUGCUUGCUCUUGGAUGGUCCAUUAUUAUCCCAAUCACCAAGGCCAAAUAGGAAGGCCCAACUCAAGUCCAAGUGAAAUUAGGGUUUCAGAUAAAAUGACAAUUAAGGUUAAGUGUUUCUCACUUAACUCAUUAAGGACUUAAUCCAUUAAGUCCUGUACUCUACUAGAUAAAUGAUAUGGAAUAAUUUGGGCUUAAUUACACAAUCCAAUCCCAAUGGCCCAAAGGUGGGUCCCAAUAAGUCUAAGGCCCAAAUACUCACAAUUAGGGAUUUCUACCCAAACAUGGCCCAAUAGGCCCAAAAUUAAUCUUUAAGCCGAUUAGGGUCUUGCUAGGUCCAUUAGGGUUUUGCUUGGGGGGCACCACCCACUACCACCUCGGGUAGUGGUGGUCAACGGCGGUUCACGGUGGCGGACACCACCUUACGAUGGUGGUUAUGGUUCUUUUCAUUACAUUUUCUACUAAUUACAAAUACAAGUUUUUAAUCCAUAAAUAAACACACACACACACACACACUAACUACUCUAACACACACACAACCACUCUAGUGGUGGCCGGCGGUGGCUUGUNNNNNNCAGCCACCACCUCACGGUGGUGGUGGUGGCUUUUCCCAUGAACUCCAGCUAGGCAAAACACACACACAUACUUUAGAUUGCACACAACCCUCCAGCCACCCACCUGGUGGCUCAAGGGGACAACAACGAUGAUUUUGGGAUGGCAACCACCACCUCACGGUGGUGGCGUUGGUUUCUGUUGGUUCCUAGACAAGUAGCACCACACCCACGCGACUUCAUUUGCAAGACGCACCCAUCCACCCAACUGGUGGUGUUUGGCAAUGGCAGCAACAACUCAAGCGGCUCAUCGGUGGCAUAACGGUGGCUAACAACGGCGAUGAUGUACAGCUGGACAAGGUGGCAACAACGAUGUACCAUCAGAAAGAAAUGGAGAAAAGAGAAGGCUGAGCGACGGGGAACUGAGCAAGGGAACGCACCUGUAACAUCCCAAAAUUCAAGAGUAAAAAUUUCUUUUAAUAAAACAUUACUUAAAGCAAAAUCAUCAAUCCAAAACAUAAUCAGAGUAUUAAUUUCCAAAAACACAUGUUCGUUAUCAGAGUAAAACAUUCCCAGGCUGUCUAAUCUAUGGUGUGUGCCAUGCGAUCACCCCGAGCUCUUCCCUCCGCUACCGGAAGUACCUGAAACCAAAACUGAAAACCGUAAGCACGAAGCUUAGUGAGUUCCCCNNNNNNNNNNNNNNNNNNNNNNNNNNNNNNNNNNNNNNNNNNNNNNNNNNNNNNNNNNNNNNNNNNNNNNNNNNNNNGGCCCCGCCUGGCUGCGAGCCUCGCUCGGAUACAGAUUUGUUUCACUUAGGCCUCGCCUGUCACUGGGUCUCGCCCGCCAACAUAUAAUAGCACAUAAACAUAUCACAUCACAUAAGCUAAACAUAUACUAACGGAUCCUAUCAUAAGGCCUCGCCUAUCCUGGGCCUCGUCCUUGUCCUGCUACGGAGGAGUCAUGGAACCCCGUCCAUGCUCCUACUGAUAGUGAGAUACGGGCCCAACCCACACUCACUCUUUCCCUAACUUGGGCCUCGCCCUUGAUCUGUUGCUAAUGAGAUGUGGAACACCAUCCACACUCUGCUAUUGGUGAGAUACGGGACCUCGCCCACACUCACCUCCCUACCAGGCACAUACAAGUAUCACACAGACAACAAGUAUAAACUAUCACAUAAACCAUUCCUUGGGCACCCGCCCGCUAUCAUUGGACCUCGUCCCGAAUAUCAUACUAGCAUACUGUGCCUAGGGCUAACCCCCGGGUCUUCUACUCAUAACUACAUGGGCCGGCAUUAUGGCCUUAGACCCAUUCACACAAAGGGAAACUCACCUGCACUUGCUGAACUUGCUGAUAGCCCCUCUAGCCGCUAUCCGACAACUCUUUGAACUCCUGCUCUACUAGCUCCCCGAGCUACCAAUAUCAAAGCAACACUUAGUCUAACUGUCCCCCGAAAGUCAACUAAGUCUCUGGUCAAAGUCAAAGUCCUGGUCAAAGUCAACCUUCUAGGUCAACCCUACUCGCCGAGUCUACCUACUGACUCGCCGAGUUCAUUAACUCAAAAUCCUUUCAUCCGUGACUCGACUCGCCGAGUCUACCGAUUUCCGAGUCCUGACCUGUCCAACUCACUGAGUCCCUACAUAACAGACUGAUCCGAGUCUUAACUCGAAGGGUUUGGGGUUUCGCGUCUCGACUCGCCGAGUCCAAGGCAAUCUUCAACAGACUCGCCGAGUUGUUCUUACAACUCGCCGAGUUCCUGCCCAACUUCAUCCAACUCCCCGAGUCGACCCAUGUGACUCGUCGAGUCGCUCUAGUUCUUAAUCCAUACAGUGGCUUUUCGAGCCAUGCAGGGGCUCCAAAUCAUAGAUCCAUACUUCCAAAACUCAAUCCUCACGUAAAGUUGCAAACUUUACGUAUAACUAAAGAGAUCUUGGCUCAAAACACACUAGGGCUAGGUUUAAGGACAAAAGGGCUUCACCAACUACUCAUCUUCUGAUGCUUUAUGACAUAUUGGACCAUCCCAACACUAGAUCUGAAGUGGCAACAACAUAUCUAAGCCCCCAAACUCGAAUUGGGUCUCAAACAACCAUAAAACCCCCAAAUCUCAUAACAAAAAUAGAUCUAGAUGCAAAGGAUGGAAAAUAGCAGCUUAUUACCUCCAAGAUGAACACAAACUGAAGUAGAUCUCAGAUCUCCACCUCUCCUUUGAAGCAACCUUCUUGAUCUUCAAGUUCCUUUCUAAAGUUUCCUUCCUCCAAAGCUAUUUCUCUCAAAUGGUGGAAGCUCACACGGAAUCUAGGGUUUACAGGUUCUCUAGGAUGAUAUGGAGGCUGAGGGAGGGACAUAACACCCUUUAUAUAGGAUACAACUCCCGGAAUUAGGGGUUUCUUCGUUCAGACCAGACUCGCCAAGUCCCCUUAGCCGACUCGCCGAGUCGGUCACUUACUCCUCGACCCGGAUCCCGCUCGGACUCGUCGAGUUCGUCCUUGAACUCGACGAGUCGGCCCUUUGACUUAGGGUUUCCUUUCCUUUCUUGACCUUCCAGAUUUUGGGUGUUACAGCACCCGAUCACAGCCACCCUCAUAGUGGCCCAUGGCAGUUUUAGGGAAAGCUUCAUCCACAGCCACAACCUCUGAUCGAUAAACUGAUGGUGGCGAUAACUCGACGACAGAAGAAACGGAGACGAGGGGGCGGCGGAAAACGAUGGCAAUAGAACUCAAUAGAACCCACCUUGAUGAACGACUACUUAUUGUCUUCAUCGAACCUCGGUGGUUCUCCGGCAGCAGCGUCGCAAUGACCACCUUCCAUUGUAGUGUAUCUGUCGGCGGUAGGCAUCCCCGUUGAUCGGAAUAGCGAAUAGAAGGGAGGUGGUGGUGGAUGACUUCACUCAUGGCGGCUGGAACCUCUUAGGUUUAGGGUUUGGGAGUAAUAAGGUGACGGGAAGGAAAGGUCACCGGGUAUAUCCGCUCCAAUACAAAUGUCCUUUCACUUUUGUCACAUAUAGCCCCUCCUUAUCAGUUCUUAUUCAAAUUAAGCCCCAAAAUUUACCUUUUAGCCCCCGCCCCCAAGAAUCUAUUCAAUCUAAGUCCAUAAUUUACCAUUUAUACCCUGCCUUAUGAAUUCAAUUUCAUAAUAAAUCCUAAUAAUUACCAAACAUACCCCCACUUCUAAAAUCCUUCUCAAAUUAAAUUCAGGAAUUUACUAAACAACCGCCAACUAUCGAAAUUCUUCAAAAUUUAGUCUGGGAGUUACAUUUAUUAAUUUAUUUGUUUAUUUAUUAAUUAAACGGGGUGUUACUACCCUCCACCACAUAAUUUGGAUUUCGUCCUCGAAAUCAACCUUUAUAAUUCCUCACAUGCCAACCUAAUCAAGUAACCUGGCCACAACCCUGGGCACACCCAAGACAUCUCAGGGCACCCGUGACCAACCCGCGUAGGGUUCUAAAAUUGGUAGAUAAAUGAGUUCCUCGCAACAAGAUCACAUCUACUCCAUCUAAAAUUUGCUGUCUCGAGAUAGUAUGAAUCCCUGACAGACUGCCCAUACUGAAAUCAUUAUCGAUGCACGCAGUCCACUUGUCUCUCAAAUGCUUACUUAACUUCUGAUAACACGAGGUUCCCAUUAGAAACAGAAUCAUAGAUCCCCUUAUCCCUACGAUUCAAUUGUACCUGGCCAACGCUCUGAUAACCCCGCUGUGAGUGACUUAGCAUAACCCAAGCUAUCUGUGAUUCUAACCAUACAUGAAAUCCCAAAAUAACAUUACUGCUGGAGACCUAAAACUGUCUGAAACACUGAACUUCUGGAAACACUGAACUACUACAUGACCAUUGGUAGCCUCAUGUCAUGAAUGACCUUAAGCAGUCCCCUGCUUCCUUGCUCUCAUAACUUUAGUGGCGCUCUGACAGUCUUAUCACCGGUUCAACCAUAUCUAAUCCAUCUAGGUAAUUCCAAAAUCCAAUCCGUAGAUUUCCAUAUCCUCACUGCUACACCCGAACUGGUGGGUACUAUUGUUCCUUCCGCGACCUAACAACGCUCUCACGUUAUCUACCAACCUAGUAAAUGCUUAUGGCUACACCCGUAAACUUAUAACACUCUACCACUAUUUGGCUGCUAGUGAAUGCUAUGACUACACCCACAGACUUACAACACUCUAUCACUAUCUGGCUGCUAGUGAAUGCUACAGCUACACCUGCAGACUUACAACACUCUCCAUACUGGAUCGACACAUGCUUGACCCGCACUCACUUGAACUCAUGUCCUGACUGAAAUCCUCAACCUGAUUCCUUAAGGUUUUCUGGAAAACAUUACGGGAACACCAUCUCCUUAUUGGCAAGUUUUUCCGAACUUCCAUCUCGCACUAUCCUCAAACCAUACCGCUGCUUGGGCUGUCUUCCUUCCUGACAAGGAUACGAAACUUAUCCCAGUUUCAAAGCUUCUCCUACUUCUGAAUCCUUGGAUGAUUCUCCCCCACUUUGAUCCAAAUAACGUCUUACAUCACACAAUACUGGAAGGAUUCUCAAUCCUUCUUAUCAUUCCAUGCCCAAUCUGUUGAAAACCACGUUUACCAUUGCUAGUGUUUCAAUACUAGCCAGUCCAAAAGAUCACACCACCUCCAUGAACCCAAAUAAAUCUCCGGUAAUAACCCGCUAGACCCAGGAAGCUCCGAAUCUCAGUUGGAGACCUCAGAAUCUCCAACUGCAUCCCAGCCUCUAUCUGGGCCGGAUCAACUAGUACACCCUUCUGGUUGACAGGGUGCCCAAGGAGUUGCACUUCACGCAACCAGAACUCACAUUUGGAGAACCUUGCAAAAAAAAUUCUCCCCCUCCUCAAAGUCUCUAGCACCUCCCUCAGGUGCUUCUCGUGCUGCUCCUCAGUCUUGGAAUAAACCAAGAUGAUGUUGUACUCUCCCAAUCCCGCAAUUUGGGAAAUGAUCUUUCGCUAUCCACUAAUAAUUCUCGAUAUGUAGUACGGAUCUCACACACUACAAGUUCCCUGGUCUUAUCUCAUCCUUCCUUGAUUCAAGUACGAAUCCUCUGCUUUCAGUAGUACGGGCCCAUACUGAUGGGUUUUGAGCAUUCUAACACCCCUAAGUAUACAGGAAACCCUAUAAAACCUUGGAUCUAUGUUUGUCUAAAAUACAUGAAAAAUAUGAUUUCCAAGGUUCAUAAUCCUAUCUAGCAUACAUGGGGAACUUUUAAUCUAAAAGAUGGCUAGAAUUACAUACCUUGUAGUUGAUUUGAUUCCUUAGAAACCUUGAGAUCCUAGCACCCCAAGUGUGAUGCCUUAAGUACUUCACACAACACCAAAUGCUUUAGAAUAACUUUAGAGUAUGUAUAACACUUGUAUAAAUUGGCUUGCCCUCUCUUGUUCUUAGUGUCAAGUCACUACUAGAAAAACAGCCUUUUACGACGCUCAUUGUGCGUCGUAAAAGGCUUAGACGACGCGCAAAUGCGCGUCAAGGAAGGCCUUGUCAUAAAGAGAGACGAAGCGCAUUUGCGACGCUCAUUUACGACGCACAAUUAUGACGCACGUUUACAACACGCAAUGCAUAUCAAGGAAGGCCCUGUCAUAAAGGAAGACGACGCGCAUUCGCGUGUCGUGACCUUACGACGCGCGUGUUAAUGACACACAAUGCGUAUCAAGAAAGCCCCUGUCAAGAAAGGCCAUGCAUAAAUUAAGAUGACACACAUUUUUUGCAUAUCGUAAAUUUAAAUGUUUAAAAAAAAAUUAUAUAUUUAUUAAUUUUUAAAUUAAAUUUGCAUUUAGUUUCUCAUAAUAGAAAUAAAAUACCAUAUACAAAAAAUACAAUCAAUUGCAUAAUAUAAAAUAAAAUUUCAUACUCAAACAACAAAAUAAAUUGCACAAAUUAUAAUGUCAUACAAAGAAUCAUUCAAAUGUUAAACAAAAAUAAUGCAUUGCUACAUGGGUUAUACAUUCCUAUAAAACUAACAAAUAAUCAUACAACUCUGUUUCUUACUGGAAAGGAAUGCCAAACAUGAUUACAAGUCUCCCUUAAUCUUGAUUACUCACCUGCUUAAGUAGAAUGCUAUUAUUGAGAAGGUUACCUAGCAACAGAGAAAAUCACAACGCCUCUCCCACAAUCACAACAUCAUUUACAGAAAAGGGUUGUCAAUUACUUUCAUUAAUAAUUUCAUUCAAUCACAAAAAUAUUAAAUAAAAGGGUGAAAAAAAUAACUUACUUUUGAUAAGUUGAUCUCCCUUAGAGCAAACACAGCUAAAGCAUUGAACAAGACCCUAUUUCAAAAUUUUGUAAAUACACAAAUCAUGAUACCUGAUACUGGAAUACACACUUUGAGACAUGAAUUAAUACGAGUAGAUUAACCUGGAUACAUAGGAAGUAAAGAUGGAAGGUGCCAGAACUCCGGGGGCAUUGGGUUGGUUCCUUCCCACUCGCACACACCAAGCCAGAACUCCACUUAAUCCAACACCAAAAUAAGCCUGCAUUUAGAAAGCUGCAGGGGUGAGUCACAAUUCAAGAAUCUGUUAAAAUUUGAGGAAUAACAAGUUCAACCAAAACAAUAUUAGAAAACAGUGUUAAAUGUGAAUCAUAACAAUGUAAUAAUUAUCAAGGUGCUGGAAUACUUGAAAUCUAGAUUAUUUACCUUUUGAUUGUAAAUCUAAAGAUUCCUCAUGCACAGAUUAUGUUCUUGUCAACUCUUGCACAGUGGUAAAUUUCAAUUUAGCUGGUUUGUCUGUUCUUUUCACCUGAUCUUUUCAUCUCUAGGCAUCCUAUCUAUUUAUUCGUUGCAGACUAGUGAGCUUCCAUCAUUAUGUUCUUGAAAUCUUGAUUGUUAAACUUCUAAUUUUGAAUCUGAGCUUUUUAUUACAAUGUUACUAUUGUAGCACUUACUUAAUGCACACAUAUUUACUAUGAUUAGGUUCUUGUCAACUCAUACAUGAUGUUAAAUUGCAACUGAGAUAUCCAUUAAAUCCACGUAAAAUGACUAUUUCGCCCACAUUUUUGUAUUUUUACUAAUUCUUUUGUACAUUAACUCACAACAAUGAACUUUGAAUCAAAUGAUCCAGACUUCCAUUUUACUUCUCAUGAACUGUAUCGUAUUUCUUAUUAGGAAUCAAGUUUAUUGAUGUUAAAUCAACUCUCUUAACAUUUCUUUCCUAUCUUGUAGUUUUUACUAGUUUGCUUUAUAACAUUAAUGGUAAAGUAAGACUGUUAUCUCCUGACAUUGAUGAUAAAAUAGACUUCUUAAUUCCAAGUUCAAGUAUUCCAGCACUUUGCUUUAUAACAUUAAAUGGUAAAGUAAGAAAUAACCUUUAUGUUGUUCGAGGAAAACAAUAUUUGCCUCCAUCCGAGAUUUGUCAUGCAAUUGACUACAAGAGAAAACCUAGAAUUUAUUUCACAAUACAUAAAAAAUAAAAAUAUUUAACGCUCUAAAAGGUAAUUAAAAAAUCCAUUUAACAACCUGAUAGUAGGUCGCUCUGCUUCAAGGACAGCGGAAAUCAGUUUUUCACCACCAGUGACAAGAGCUAGCCUUGAUGCCAUUUUAUGGAAGAAUCUUAUCUGUAAAAAGAAUAAUAUAUGAAGGGUUCCGAUCACCAUACACAUUGUCCACACGACCUGUCACACAUAAUUAACCCAACCAUAGUUAAUCAAUCUUUAAGCACAUCAAUCAACAAUUCAGGAUUCAAAAAAAAAAUUUUUAAUUAUUCAGAUUAAAUUUUAUGCAUGAGAGAGAGACGAACAUGUAGUAGGCCAGAACUUAGCUGCACGAAGCCAUGGUGCAGGGUAAGCUGCAUAUUCUAUGGAGUAUGGUUUUGUCCACUUAUCAGCCAUGAGUAGUUGUGGUGGAUGAGGUGCUCCCUACAUUUUUUUAAAUUUCCAUCAUUAUCCCUAAUAUAACUCUUGAACAAAUAAUACAAAACAGUCAGAACUUAGUUAUUGUUAUAAUUACCUUGAUGACAUUGUUGUUGAUGUUCACCGUUCCUUUCUCAAUUUCUGAUAUUUCUUGUCUAAUGGAGAUCAAAGCAUCACAAAACCUGUCCAACUCAGCCUACAACACAAAAAUUCCACAUGUUAUGUCAUAUAUGUAACGCCCGCAAAUCCGGGCUAGUCAAUUUAGAGGAAAUAGGGGUCGAAAACGACUUUUUGACAAAAGAUUAUUUAGAAUAAAUAAUCUUAACCAAGUUAUGGAAUAUGUCUCAAGGUUUCCGUACAUAUAAAGAACGCCGAAAUCCGAGUUAUAACGAAGAAGUUAUGGCCCGUCGAAGUUUUACGGCAAAACCGGCACGGCGCCGGGAAGCGUAAAUAGCGAAUUUACGAUAGAGCGAGAUUUAGUGUUAGCAAUCUAAAAAAAAGUUGAAGAAUAUGUUAAACUAAGAGCGUCGAUAAAAAGAACGCCCAAAUCUGACUUCGUAUGAGGAAGUUAUGAUUUUUCUAAGAUUCGGCUUAGCAGUGCACGACCCGAAACUCGAAUUUUAGUUCGAGCGGGUUUUGGCUUAUGCGACCUAAAUGAGAGUUGAAGAUCUCAUUAAUAGGAACUCAACAGUAAAAAGAUGGACAAAAACGGAGUCCGUAUGAAGGAGUCACGAAUUCUUUGCGGUCAUUUAGCAGUCUAAUCUUCUCCUACUGUUAAAUUUAAGAUCGGUCAAGAAUUAGCCAAUGGAGUCUAAAUGAAAGUUGUAGAUCUUGUUUUUCAAUACGUGUGGAAAAAAAGAACGUCAAAAACGGAGCUCAUAUGCGAGAGUUAUGAUAUUUCUAAGUCGGGAGGCUGCUGUGCGAAAUCGGGUGACGUGGCGCAAUCCUAGCCGUUGCUUCCUCCCCAAGGCUAGCCACCAGAUGGUGACACCUGGCCUGGAACUCGACGAGUUUGAGACCAACUCGACGAGUUUGAGGCCAACUCGACGAGUUUUUGGCUUUUCGAGCCUAUAAAAAGGGUGCCGGGGCAUCCUCAUUUCUCAGCCCUUCCAAGUUCUCUUUCUCUCUCUAGAAUCUCUCUCUAAGCCUCCCUAACCCCCUAAAGCCAAGGGUAAACCCCCUAGCACCCGAAGGAAGCCCCGAGGCUCCCGGAGCCUCGAGAAAAAAGCCUUUCGGCUCUGGAACGCUGCUCCAGCGAAGCCUGGUUUUGCGAAAAACCCGCUGUAAGUGAGUUGUACCUACCCUAUCUUUAGUAUAGCUAAUGAAAGGAAAGGAAAAAACAUUAUAACUUUUAAAGAAACUUUACCUUUUUUUUUUUCAAAAAAUACCUUGCUUUCACUUUCAGUGGGUUCAAUCAUUAGUGUUCCUGGAAUUGAACAUGACAUAGUUAGACCAUAAAACCGGUAAUCAAUCAGACGUUUUGCAACAUCUUCUGGCUCUAUUCCAGCACUUGUCUGAAUAUGAAUAUGAUUCAAGUUAGUUUUUAUUUCUUUUUGACUUAACAAAAAAUAUGACUAAAUAAUAUUAUAACUUACUUUCAAGGGUCUCAAAUCAACGAUGAACUCAUGGGCAACUGUUCCACUCACACCACGGAAAAGAAUGGGAUAGUGACUCUGCAAUGUAAUUAAUCCCAAAGGAAAAAAAUUGAGAACUUGAUAAUAACAAUAAUUAAAAAAAUAUUAUAUAUUUGUUCUUUAUGAAUAGAGAAAGAAAGAAAUUGAGACCUCAAGACGUUUUGCCAUAUAGUUUGCAUUCAAGAUAGCUAUACUGUAUGCAUCUGUAAGUCCUUGAGAUCCCAUCAUGGCAAUGUAUGUAUACGAUAUAGGCAAGAUAAGUGUUGAACCCCAAGGUGCUGCUGAAACCGUGCCAAGUGGCUUACUCUACUCAGGGGCUGCCUCUAGUGGCAACCAUUAAAUCAAGAUUUACAAAUUAAUUUAUAUAAACUUAACAACAUAUUACUCUAAUUACACAUAAACAUCAAACUAAAAAAAUUAUUGUUUUGUCUUACCACAGGGUGUGAAGGCAAGUAGGGUGCCAAGUGUUUCUUCACACCAAUGGGGCCCAUUUCGGGCCCACCACCACCAUGUGGAAUGCAAAAUGUCUUGUGAAGGUUUAGAUGACAAACAUCAACCCCAAUCCACCAUGGACUUGUUAAUCCAACCUGUAAAAAAUAAAAACCAAAUAAUUUUUAUAUGAUGUUUCAAUUUUGUUAGCUCCAUUAAAACGACACAAGAAGUGCAAUGUUCAUGUACCUGUGCAUUCAUAUUCUCCAGUAGCUCCAACAUUUGGUUGCAAAGAGAAAGAGUCAAAUCCGGUUAUGGUACACAGAAUGUCCCCCAAAUUCUUGAACACUUCCUGCAAGAUAUUUUUUUAUGUUGCUCUCAGGUUAAAAAAAAGUCAACAGAAAUAUAAUUUGGAAUCGUAAGUCAAAAUUAGAAAGAUUUGAUUACCUGAUACCCCUAUGCUUGUUGGGUAGGAGCAAAAGGAUGCAUAUCUGCAAAGGCUGCCAUGUCACAGGCAUCAUCUCUGUAGUUGCAUUAAGCUUCAUGGUGCAAUAUCCCAAAGGAAUCAUACUGUGGCAUAAUGACAGAUCCUUUGACUGCAGCUUACUAAUGUAUCUUAGUAGCUCAUGCUCCGUAUGAUAACCAAAAUAAAUAAAUAAAUAAAGAAGCAGGAAAAGCCUUUUACAUGUUAAAAAAGUGACUAGGUUUUGAAAAAAAGUAUCAUGCGUGUUGAAAAUCGAAUGAGUCAGAUAUGGAGUCUCUCUGACAAGUCCGGAAGGGAUAACAUCCUGAACCUCUGGUGCAAGUGAUGUGGCACUGAAUGUCACCUAGAAUCAAGAAUCAAGAUUCUUGAUUUAUAUAAAGAUUUGUUAUAUCAAAAGAAAGGACAAACUCAUGGGUUUUCCUAAGGCAAAAACUUUGAACAUCCUGAACCUCCGCCAUGAGAACCCACUUCAGCUUCCGCCGUUAUUUCACCAACUCCGGCCAUUAGAUGUAAUCAUGUGUGCAGAUACUUACAUUACCAAAGAUAGGACCGGAGGCAAGAGCGGAUGAACUUGGUUCAGAAAACCAGAAGGGUGAUUAUGGUUUUCCAGAGAGAGAGAGAGAGAGAGAGAGAGAGAGAGAGAGAGAAUGCACAUUAGGAAUGAUGCCCUCAGCCAUUGCCCAAGCCAAUCAGAUACGAAAUUGAGGGCUUUAAGCACAGUGGGAUGAAAAUAUCACAUAUAGCUACAAUAUAAACAAACGGAUCUAGAAGUAAGUAAUGUUACUGGUAAGAAUAAUUAGCCGACAGUCAUAAAUGAUAAAUGCAUAAAGUUUUUAUUUCACUUGAAGAGAUUUUCUACUGAGGUGACCUAGAUUUGGUUCUUUGUGAUCUGAAAUAUCAACGAUUCAAGAGUGAAUUACUUGCUUAUUGUUAUGAUCUGUAUAGAAUUCAUUUAUGUUUCUCACUCAAAAACUUGAUUGUAUAGAUGAACAAAUACUAAGAUGAUCUCAAAUUGACAAGCGUAUAAUCGCAGAAACAAUUAGAAACAACCAACGAGCAAAAUGCAGGCAAGCAAACUUUAAAUUAUUCAGGUAGAAAGCACAAAUUGCAUAUCUAGUUACAUUCAUUUACAAAUCAAAUCAGAUUAACUCAAGUAUUAUAAAUCGGAUUGAUCUAAAUCAAAUCAACAUGAAGACCGAUCUAUUCGAAAGAAGUAACGGAGGAGAAAACGACUUACGGAUAGGAGACAGAAGGUGGAUCCAGGACUUAGAACCCCAAUCGCCAACAUCGUGAGUGAUGGAGGCGUUGAUUGUUGAUGAUGAAGGGCCGUUACGGUUUCAUCAAUUUCGAGUACGGUAGUACUAGGUGGGGGAGGAUAAGAUAGCUUCAAAGAAGGUCACAAAUCUGGAGCAAGGAAGAAGGAAGACAUCGUUGCGAAUUGACGGUGGUUGUGUCUAAGGUUAGAUUGACGGAGGAGGGAGAAAAUGGCUCUCUGUAUGAUUUUAUGAGAGAUAAGGGAGAUUACUUCAAAAUUUUAGAAUUUUCUAAUUUUAGAGGAUCCCUCUUUAAAAACGCGCGUUUAAAUGAAAAAAAAUGUAAAGCGACAUUUGUAGACGACGCCCAUUUAAUUUAGGUGCCCUCCAUGUUUGUAAAUUUUUUUUGUGGGACAAUAAUUUUAGGGCAUGCACAAAUGCGUAUCUUCUAUCCUUCAAAUUUUGGAAGGCUGACAUUAUUUUUAAGAACACAUCAAAAUGUGUAUCGUAAAUCAGUGUGUGUCAUUGUUCGCACGUCAUUAAAGGGUAUUUUUCUUGUAGUGAGUCGAUUUUGGUGUGCAUCAAGUUCUUUAUAUAGUGUGUCACAUCUAGGGUUACACCAUGUAAACCCUAAUGUGACAUGAGUCUUCAUUUCCAUGACCCAUGGGUUUGUAACUCCCAUGGAGCAUCCUUUGGGUUUAACCCAACUUGAUAAUCCAUGGAGCCUUUUAGCCCACUAUACAAGUUAUGGAUGAUUUACAUAAUCAACCCAUAUAUUUAAUUAGUUAUCUUUUGAUCACUUAAUUAUUUCCAAAUUAAUUCUUGAUCAAUACUAAUUAAAUAAUACUAUUAAUAUAUUAGAACUUAUAAUAUAUUAAUAAACCACAAGUGUUAUUUCUCUCAUUUAGUCUAUCCAAAUGCAUGGUGCCAUGCAACCCAAAUGCACCAUGCCGGGUUGGGUCAAGUACAUACAAAAUAUAGUUAUGAACUUAGACACCUUAUCCAACACAUACUACCUUCCACAUCUAUCCUUACUUUCCUCAAAAACUGCCUUGACUCCACCAAGUCCAUUCUACUGCUACUGCUCUCUGCUACUCUCAUCCUAGGAUUGUCCUAGGGUAAUCACCUUUCCACUCUUCGCCAUCAGCUGCAUAAGAAGUCCCAGCUUUCUUCCCAUAACUAGCUCGCGAAUACUAUUACAUAUCACUCAGACUAGAUAAUUCUUCGAAUGAGAGAUCCUACCCUGCAAUGGUUGGACUCAAACAAGAGCUGCGUAAUAGAGCUAGACCUAACCUUCUGAAAUUAUUUAAUCCUCGCAAUAUGUAACGUAACAUAUUCAUUUACUAGUUAGUAAAAGAUAGCUAAGACUCCUAAUAGCACAAAGCAAGCAACAUUCGAGCAUCGAGUACACACAAUCAAGCAUCUACUACUCUGGUUAUCAUACUGACAAUUCUGUACUAGCAUGCAGUUCUCAUUAAGCUGGAACACAUAUAACGGGUGUAUAAGGCAUCCUUCCUAGAUCGUUAGUCCUAAUCUAGCAUGUUGUUCUAAAUAAGCUGAUAAUCAGAACAUAGCAUAAACUUGUAUGGGUAAUUUGUGAGUACUUACUUGAACUUGGCUGAUUGCACGCACGACACCCCUUUUUCUCUUUUCAAAGUUAUUUUCUUUCAAAAAAAAAAAAAUCUUUUUGCUUUUCUAAAACUCUUUUCUUUUGAAAACUUUAUACCACUUCCUUAGUUUGAGUUUAUACACACUCGGAAGUGCGUCCGAAUCCCUCAAACCAAGGCUCUGAUACCAACUUGUAACAUCCUAAAAAUACAGUCAAAAAAUUUCGUUUUAAUUUAAUAAUAAAACCAUAGUGAUCGAACAUCAUAUAGAAAUCAUAAACAGUGUAUCUCAAAAUAUCAUAACAAUUGUCAAACUAUCAAAUUAUAAACAUCCCAGGCUGAACAGAUGGUGUGUGCACUACAAUCUUCCCGAGCUCCUCUUUGAAAACUGAGUACCUGAAACCAAGCUAAAACUAUAAGCAUGAAGCUUAGUGAGCUCCCCCAAACUACCACAUACCAUACAAUAACAUAUAAAGCACAUACUAGGGCUUGCCCACUGCAUCAGACCGAAGUCUGGAACUAACUAGGGCCUUACCCUCUACAUCGGACCGAAGUCUGGAAUUGACUAGGGCCUUGCCAUCUGCAUCGAACCGAAGUCCAAAACUGAUUAGGGCCUUGCCCACUGCAUCGAACCGAAGUCCGGAACUAACUAGGGCCUUUCCCAUUGCAUCAGACCGAAGUCCGGAACUAACUAGGGCCUUACCCACUGCAUCAGACCAAAGUCCGGAAUUAACUAGGGCCUUGCCCACUACAUCGGACUGAAGUCCGGAUCUGACUGAACAUAGCAUAGUAAAAUCAUAACAUAUAACAAUAACACAUAUACUGCAUACUGCAUCGCACCGCAGUCCGGAACACAUAACACAUAGACAUGCCUGAAUCACAAAGACAUCAAGCAUAUUGAACUACUUCUCUGGACCACCCCGUCAUCAAACCAUAGUCCGAAACUACUGCCAUCUAAACGGGCCGACAUUGUGGCCGUAGCCCAUUCCUACUUGAAGGAAACUCACCUCACAUGCUGAAGUCCCGCUGACAAAACCAUAGCUGCUAGAUGACAGAUUCCCGAUUUGUCAAUAUCAAAAUAACACGUAAUUACUAAUUGGGUUCCAACUCAUAUUCAUAAGUCCAUGCUUGGGUAAGAGACUACCUUACCCCAAUCUUAGCUUGACUCAAGCCCAAGGACCAAUCCAAAGGCCCAAAGGUCUAAUAAUGCACCAAAGCCCAACUAUGGCCCAAUUUUCCCAAUUGGGCCCAAAUCUCUACAUGGUCUUGAUCAAAAGCCCAACCAUUUAGUCUAGUCCAACAUUUGGCAUUUUAAUGGCCCAUUAUUAUAUAACCAUCAAGGCCCAAACUAUGGCCUAAUUUUCCAAAUUGGGUCCAAACCCUCAUAUGGGCCUUACCCUAAGACCAGUUAAUUAUUCUAAUUUGUUUGCUUGCUCUUGGAUGGUCCAUUAUUAUCCCAAUCACCAAGGCCCAAUAGGAAGGCCCAACUCAAGUCCAAGUAAAAUUAGGGUUUCACAUAAAAUGACAAUUAUGGUUAAGUGUUUCUCACUUAACUCAUUAAGGACUUAAUCCAUUAAGUCCUUUACUCUACUAGAUAAAUGAUAUGGAAUAAUUUGGGCUUACUACACAAUCCAAUCCUAAUGGCCCAAAGGUGGGUCCUAAUAAGUCGAAGGCCCAAACACUCACAAUUAGGGAUUUCUACCCAAACAUGGCCCAAUAGGCCCAAAAUUAAUCUGUAAGCCCAUUAGGGUUUUGCUAGGUCCAUUAAGGUUUUGCUUGGGGGCACCACCCACUACCUACUUGGGUAGUGGUGGUCAACGACGGUUCACAGCGGUGGCCACCACCUUACGGUGGUGGUUAUGGUUCUUUUCAUUACAUUUUCUACUAAUUACAAUUACAAGUAUUUAAUCCGUAAAUAAACAUACACACACACACACUAACCACUGUAAAACACACUCAGAAAACGACUCUAUUGGUGGCUGGGGGGNNNNNNNNNNNNNCAGCCACCACCAUGGAGGUGGUGGUGGCUUUUCCUAUGAACUCUAACUAGACAAAACACACACACAUACUUUAGAUUGCACACAACACUCCAGCCACCCACCUGGUGGCUCAAGGGGACAACAACGACGAUAUUGGGAUGGUAGCCACCACCGCACGGUGGUGGCGGUGGUUUCUGUUGGUUCCUAGACAAGCAGCAACACACCUACGCGACUAUGUUUGCAAGGCGCACCCAGCUACCCACCUGGUGGCGUUUGGCAAUGGCAGAAACAACUCAAGCGGCUCAUCGGCGGCAUAACGGUGUCUAACAACGGCGACGAUGUACAGCGGGACAAGGCGGCAACAACAAUGUACCAUUCGAAAGAAAUGGAGAAAAGAGAAGGCUGAGCGAUGGCGAACUGAGCAAGGGAAUGCUCCCGAUCACAGCCAACCUCACAAGGGCCCAUGGCAGUUAGAGGGAAAGCUUCAUCCACAACUGCAACCUCUGCUCGAUAAAGUGAUGGUGGCAAUAACUCGACGGUAGAAGAAACGGAGACGAGGGGGCGGCAGAAAACGAUGGCAAUAGAAAUCAAUAGAAACCACCUUGACAAACAACUGCUCAUCGUCUUCAUCGACCCUUGGUGGUUCUCCGGCAGCAGCAUCGAAAUGGAGACCUUCCAUAGCAGUGUAUCGGUCGACGGUGCUUAAUGGCGAGGCGGUAGGCAUCCCUAUUGAUCGGAAUAGCGAACAGAAGCGAGGUAGUGGCGGCUGACUUCACUCAUGGCGGCUGGAACCUCUGAGGUUUAGGGUUUGGGAGUAAUAAGGUGACGGGAAGGAAAGGUCACCGAGUAUAUCCACUCCAAUACAAACUUCCUUUCACUUUUGUCACAUAUAGCCCCUCCUUAUCAGUUCUUCUUCAAAUUAAGCCCCAAAAUUUACCUUUUAGCCCCCACCCCCAAGAAUCUAUUCAAUAUAAGUCCAUCAUUUACCAUUUAUACCCUGCCUUAUGAAUUCAAUUUCAUAAUAAAUCGUAAUAAUUACCAAACAUACCCCCACUUCUAAAAUCCUUCACAAAUUAAAUCCGGUAAUUUACUAAACAACCCUCAACUAUUAAAAUUCUUCACAAUUUAGUCCGGGAGUUACAUUUAUUAAUUUAUAUGUUUAUUUAUUAAUUAAACGAGGUGUUACAUAUAAUCACAUAUGAUUAAAUGCACGAGACCAACAAAUUGAAUCGAAAACUCAAAAAUGAAUAUUGUCCAUAUUUGUAUUUAAUAAUAUAUGAUUUAUGUGCACAAGAUUUGGUUUUGCGUUCAAAAUUCAAUAGUUGUUCUUUGUCCACAUUUGAAAAUGGAUCAUGUUUACAUAUAAUCAUAUAUGUUUUAUAUGGGAAAUAUUCAUUUUGUGUUUUGGAUUCAAUAUUUAUUAUCGUGUAUUUAAUCACAAGUGAUUAUACAUGAUUAGAAAAUGAAUAUUUUCUAUAUAAAUAAUUUGUGAUUAGAUACAUAUAAUCACAUGUGAAUAUAUGUAUUUAAUCACAUAUGAUUCUGUUGGAUAAGGUGUCUAAGUCCAUAACUUUAUUUUGUAUAUACUUGACCCGACUGGGCAUGGUCCAUUUGGGUUGCACUUCACCCAAACUUUUAUAUGGUUAAACCUUUGAGAAUUGUAUGUUUAUGAUUUGUUAAUAUAUUAUAAGCUAUAAUAUAUUAAUAUGAAAUCAUAUUAUUUAAUUUGUAUUGAUCAUUGGUGACUAAUUAAAUAUGGGCUCUCGUAUUUAUAUAAGUGUGGGCUAAUACUCAUUUGGAAUGGGCUUGGCAUGCAUGGGAGUCCAUGGAGCUUUUAAUCCAUGGAUCCUUAGAAAGGAAGAGUCAUGGGUAUUAGGGUUUACAUGUAUGUAACCAUAAUUCCUCACAUUAUAUAAAGGAGCUUGUGAUGCUUGAAAUGGCACUAGUUGUGUGUAUGCAAAGAGGUGGCCGAUUUCUAUAAGCUAGGAUACACUCUCUUAAGGUUUUUCCAAGUUUGUGGUGAUUUGUGAUUUCCAUUUGAGGCUUCCACAUUAUUGGUGCUUAGCUCUCAAACUCCAAGGAAUCAACUAACUAUUGAAAGGUAUGUAAUUCUUCUAGCCAUUAUGUUUAAUGUUCCCCAUGCCAUGCUAGAUAUGUUAUGAACCUUGGAAAAACAAUAGUUGCAUGUAUUCAUAGUAAAAUAUAGAUCCAAGGUUUUAGGGUUGCAUGAACACCUUAGGAGUGUUAGGAUGCUCAUAACCCAACAGUAGGAAUAGAGCCUAAGAUUUUUUUCUUGAAUACUUGAUGCAAACUGUUGAAAAAAGUCAAAAUUCUUGUUGUCUGCACAGGGACUCGCUGAGUUCUUGGGGGAACUCGACGAGUCCAAGCUUAUAUUCAACCAACUCGGUGAGUGAAUUCUUGCACUCGACGAGUUGGCCAGGCAGAGUGCAAAUUUUCGAUUUUUGCUGCUAGAAAUGGACUAGAAACAUUAACCUAAACUGUUUUGAUGUUUUAAAACCUGUUUUAGACAGUGUAAUUGUUGUUCCAAUCCAUUUACAAUGGCUAAUAUCAAAAUUCCAUGUUUAAAUGUGUUCAUAUGUUCAUAAAAUUUUGAUAUGGAUAUUCAUGUUCUUAUGAGUUAUUGUUAGAUCAUAGGAAUUAAUUUCUAAAUUGUUUAAUGAUUAAUUCUUGAUCAAUUAUGUGUUUUAAUGGAAUCCAUAAUUUGUCCUCAAGUUAUGGAUUUCCAAAGAUCACCUCUUUUAAUGAACAUUUAAACACAUAAGUUACAUAAAAAUGAAGAGUCUUCACUUUUAUGAACCCUUAACUCAUAAGUUAUGAAAUGAAAAACUUUGAAGAGUUUCAAAACUUGCCCUCAAGUUUUGGAAUUUGUAAAGACACACACACUUUAAAUUCCAACACUUAGGAUUAUAAAAGUUAAAAUUCAACCCUUAUACUAUUAUAAGAUUAAUGGUUAAUAUUUAUACAUAUGCAUAAGAUCAAGUCGUUUUACCCUUAGUAGGCCUCAUUCACAAAGCCGGUCUAUAAGGGGGUAUAAGGUUGUUGCCUAUAAAAUGGCAGCUUAAUGGGUGUCCACUCUCACCCACCGCUUCCUUGAUUGGUGGAGGGUCGUUAGCCGAGCGAGUAGGACAAUAACUCUAAUUCUCAUUAAAAGUAUAAUGAUUAUUAUAAAGUAACUAAAUAUUUUAUAAAAUCCCAAUCUUAGUUACUUUAGGAAAAUGUUUAAAUAAGGAAAAAUGUGAUAUGAUUGUUACCAUACUAAUAUGAAUAUAACACGACGAUGAAAUACGUCGGAAGAAAUGACAUUUGGCACCCGUAGACUUGCAAGUCCCACUGUAGCGAACAACACAGGUGUAGGAUAGUCAAUCCAGUAUAAAUCUAUAUGCAAACUCAUGCUCUUCCUCCAUGAGAUUUUGGUUACAAAACGCGACAUAACGAAUUGGUCGAUGUGUCAUGAAGUAGUAUCUCACAUUAUGUUAUCUAUGAAUCUUGUUAUAGUAAUAGUAUUCUAUGUAUAGUAUUCUCUGUAUAGUAUCCUUUGUAUAGUAUUCUCUGUUAUAUUAUUCUCUGUCAAGUAUCCUCCGUCUAGUAUUCUAUGUUAUAGUAUGUAAUAGUAUCUCUUCAUAUAAUAUGUAAUAGUAUCUCUUCAUAUAGUAUGUAGUAUAUUUGUAUAGACUCAUGAAUGAACUGAAUCUUGUGUGAUUCCUUGUACUAGGAAUAGUAAGUAGUAUACCUCUAAACUAUACCUAUUAUAGUUUACUAGUAAUAUAUGUAUAUGAAUGAACAAAAGUAUGCCUUUGCUACCCAAAGGUACUGAACUGACUGAUAGAACUUUUAUCUCUACAUAUGUAUACAUAAUAUGUAACUAAUAUUUAGACGACAUUCGGACAAAUAACCGAUACCCUAAGCCACAUCCAAAGAAGGAAAAGGAAUUAAAGCGAUUUAGCAGUCCUAAGUCCUUUAAACAUUACUUACAUAACUAUACAUAUAUAGGCAUGCAUUUGACAAUAUAAAAGUUUAAAAGAAGUUUUGUAAAACAUUUGAAGAAUUUAAUAAUAAAAUCGAUGACUUGAUGUCAAUUUAUAAAACGAUUUAAAAGCAAUUUGUUGACAUAAACAGUUUAAAGUAUAAGAAACCCUUUGUUUGAAACACAGUUUUGAUAGAAUUUGAAAGGAAAGAUUUAGUAUAGAAAUCAAGUUUGAUAAAUAGUUUAACAUGUAAAAGCGUUUGAGAAAUCAUUUCGAAGUAGUUUGUUUGGCAAAACAACUAAAAGUAUAGUGAAAUCCAUUUGUGUGCUAGUUAUUAAUCACAUGUGAUUGAUAUAAUAACUAGUAUUAUUCAACUUGUAUUCCCCCCAUAAAAGCAUUUAAAAACAUUUAAAAGGUUGAUUAAGGAGUAUGCACUCACCUGUAGUGAUUGGAUUGUAUGGAAGUGUUGGACAAGGUGCUAGGUGUCAAGUGAAGACUUGGACACACACAAUGAUCCUAUUAACAUAUAAAGACAUAUCUAUGCAUUUAAUUAGUGAAUAUCACACUAAUUCAUCAAGUAAAGACACCCUAGAACAAGGAAAACACUUGGAUUCAAGUGUUAUAAGGUCAUAGGGUUGUAUCUAACGGUUGUAAGGCAUUGUUAUUGAGUUUAUGGCCCAAGGACCACUCUCCAUGGAGUUUACGGCCCUAGUGGGUUUACGGCCGUAAACCCAUGGCAAACUCCCCAAAUUCUUGUGUUAAGGUCCUUAGCUGAAAUGUGAAGGGUUCUAGUCCAAGUUCUAAGCAAUUGGAAGGAAGUUAGGGCAACAUUGCACCCUCUUAUGGAGUUUACGGCCUUGGGAGAUGCCUUGUUCGUAAACUCCCUUGCAUUCUAGAUUUCUUGAUGUUUCUAAGGUGUACACAAGUCCAUUCUAGUAUACAACAAGCUAGGACAAGAGUACUUACAAUCUAGAAGCUUGUUUGGGUGUUUAAGGCUUAAGAACACUAGUUUGUGUUCUUGGUGUUUUGAAGAACACUUGAAGAUCUACCCAAAAGAAGAGAUUUCAUGGAUGAAAUCAUGUGUAUUCACUAGAUAUGAAAGGAUAUCAAGUUGAAAAUGGAAAGUUUACUUACUAGAUUGAAGAUUGGAAGCAAAACUCUUGAUGAUACUUGAGAGAAAACCCGAAAUCUAGGCUUGAAAUGGCAAGAAUGAAUGAAAAAUGGCUAUGUUUUUCUUAUAUAGGCAUGGAUUUUACGGCCCCAUGAGUUUACGGCCGUAAACUCAUGGUCUCAUGGCCGUAAACUCCUCAUUUGAGGGUUUAAAGCUUGAUUGGUGGUUUGGAACCCUAGUUGACCCAUUAUAGAGUGUGAUCCUUUGAUGUAUUAAAGAUCAGAAUGCUCAAACAGACUCUAAACUAUGCUAAAAGUUAGCAGGAGUAAGUUUGAAUUUCAAUGAAGUGCUUGACUGUACAUGAUAGGAAAUUUCGGGUUGUCACAUCAUCCCCCCGUUAGAGGGAAUUUCGUCCCGAAAUUAGAGUUUAGGCAAGGAAGUAGGUACGAAUAAUCAAGUAAAAGGGAUGAGGAUAUUUCAGUUUCACUGGUCCUCGCACUCCCAAGUGAAUUCUGGUGCUCACUUGCCGUUCCAGCGAACCUUCACUAUUGGGAUGCGACUUUGUUUCAUCUGCUUGACCUGUCAGUCCAUGGUCAUUACGGUUCUUGCACGAGUUGAGGCUCUUGUUGAUAUCGAUCUCGUCGAGUGGGAUUACAAGAGUCUCGUCAGACAGACACUUUUUCAAGUUCGAGACGUGGAAGGUAGAAUGUACAUUGUUAAGUUCGCGGGGCAAGUUGAGUCUGUAAGCUACAGGGCCGAUUCUAGCAAGAAUCUCGAAAGGCUGUAUGUACCUUGGAUUUAGCUUUCCACGUCUUCCGUAACGUAUCAAGCCUUUCCGGGGUGAGACUUUCAAAGGAACGUGGUCUCCUCCUGGAAUUCCAAAGGUUUCUUUAUCUUGUCAGCGUAGCUUAGAAAUUUGCAAAAUUCUGUAGGUGUCUUUGGUGCUGACUAAUUCUCAACGGUUUUGAUUUUGGAAGGGCCCACUUGAAUUCCCACUUUACUAAUAGUGUGCCUUAGGAAUUCGACUCUUCGAAUCCAAAACUCGCGUUUAGAGAACUUCGCUUAAGGCUUCUCUGAUCGUAAUGUUUCCAAGGUCUGUCGUAGAUGCUUUCAAUGCUCUUUCUUACUACGAGAGUAGAUAAGUAUGUCAUUUAUAAGGACAAUGACGAACUGAUCCAAGUAAGGACGGCAUACCCUAUUCAUUAAGUCCAUGAAUACUACGGGCGCAUUGAUCUUAUCAGAGAGGUAUCACUACGGACUCGUAGUAUCCGCAACGAGUUCGGAAAGCCGUCUUCGGGACAUCCUCCUCUAACACUCGUAACUGGUGAUACUUGGAUCUCAGAUCCAUCUUCGAAAGGUAAAUCGUUCCUUGCGGUUGGUCAAACAAUUUAUCUAUGCGAGACAGAGGGUAACGAUUUCCAAAUGGUAAUCUUGUCGAGGUCUCUAUAGUCGAAGCACAUACUAAACAAUCCGUCUUUCUUCUUAGACGAACUAGACUGGAUCUCCCCAGGGUGAGAAGCUUGGUCAUACAAAGCCUUUGCAACUAAGUCGAUUCUGAACUCGACUUGACGUUAUGGAGGUAAUCCUGGGAGUUCUUCUGGAAAGAUAUCGGGAAGAUCCCAAAAGAAAGUACGAUUACUUAUGAAGUAAGGAAUAUGAUAGGUACUUCUGUUCUAUCUGCAUCUCUUGUCCCUGCUCGGCGAGACGACAUUUGAUUGGAUUCUAAGUUAUCUGCAUGGCAACAUGAUCACUCGUAGUUUUGGGCAGUCUCCGUCCUGAACUUCAUAUUAGAAGUCAUACUUGGUUCAUGAAUCACAGUCUCAUGUAUACGAGUCGUAUAUAAUUAAGAUUGAAAAGAUAGUCGAAUAAAUGAUUCUUCUUGAAGCUCACAUCCAAACAAGGACAAGAAGUUAAAGCGGAAUUAUCAAUUCUAAACCUGUAGAACCUUGAUUCUAUACCACCCUUGUGUAUACCUUUCUCAGCGAUAGAUCAACCGUAUGAGUCUUCGGAUUGAACUUGACGUACAAUACAAGUGGUAUUAUGGGGAGGUUUGCCGAGGUUUCUUCGGGAAGGACAUGAAACAUAAGGUACUAUAUGCAUGAGUAACUCGGAGUUCUGGAAUGACGGCUUCGCUAGAAAGGCGAUUUCGGAGAAAAGAAUUUACGCACGAAGCUGAGGAUUGAAUUGACUCAAGUUGUAUGAUAAUAUCGGACUCACUUGGAAAUAAAGGCAUUAGACUUGAUCAUAAAGGCGUUACAGACAAAACACAACAGUGCAACUUUUAACAGAGUUAUAGUACUUUAGAUUAACUACAAGACUAUUGCUGCGAACAAGGUAUACUACAAAAAGCAAGUAUACGCAGCACGAGAGCCCCUUGACCGGUGGCAUCUCCCAAAAGACAAUACUCGAGUUGCAUUGGUGUUUAACAGUUUAUAAGUCUAUUAUGAUGAAACGUCCUAGAAUUUCAACGUGGGUCCGGAGUAGUCUCUCCUGCGGCAGUGAUCCUUAGUAUCUUUCCGUCUGCGCCAGAGUUCUUUGUUAUUGGACAAUCCUUCUUGAGGUGUCCUAUCUCAUCGCAUUGGUGACAUAUCCGACUUCCACCAUAAUCGGUGGUGGAAGUGAUGUCUCGAGUUGGAGUUAUGAGGACACGAGCGCUUUCGUUGUUCCUCCUUUUCGAAAAAUUCCUUUUAAAGUGUCCAAUUUCACCACAACCAUAACAAGAUUGGUUGACUCCGAUGUCAGGGACUUGAGUGAUGGGUCAUGCCGGUGCUCCACAACUACGAGCAUGGUGUCCUAUUUUUGUGGCAAUUGUAGCAUUGCAUUUCAUGGUAAGCCCCAUUAUGAUGAAUUCAACACUUGUCACACUUCAGGAGUUUUCCCUCGUAUGUUCUGAUCGGUGCUGGAAUGGCAGGGGUUGCCACUUGUUGCUGUUGCAUGGCAAGUCUUUGGGAUCGCUUGCGCUCUUUUUGGGCUUGACGCUUUCGUUUCCUAUUCUCGGUUUUACGGCUUUGCAAGUCUGUGACUGUUAUCAUUUGUUGGUUUCUUGGAUCGAUAUAACGAUCAGAAUUGUCAACCCCUUUGACAACCUUGCUUGCGUUGUUAGCGCUUAGGUUUGCAAGCACAGCUGCCACUGCAGCUGUUACCAUGGCUUGGAAUGUAACGACGUCGAUAUGAAGGAUAGGGAUUUCGUUUCUCGGCUGACUACUUCUGGAUGAUGACAUGAUUCUGUUAUACGAAAGAAAAGGAGUUCAUGAGUGAUUAUGGUUGAACCUAUAUGUAUUUCGAUCAUUCAUGUAAAGAGUAGUAGUAAGUUCUCGAGGGUUUGACCUACAUCCCUAUGAUGCAGUCCUAGUAAAGAGUAGAAGUAAGUUCAUAGAAUGGUCACAAGACGUUUUCUAUUUCGAACUAAAUUAUCAUUGGUGUGAGUAUGACAAGAUCCAACCUUCGACCAGAAUUGGAAGUGAUCCCUGAGUUAAAAUACCAUAGCUCAAUAACUUGACUAGAGUUAGUUUCAGAUAGAAUUCUAAUGAUAGUAUGAUGGAAGUAUUCGGACAAAUAUUGACACAGAAAUUAGCCGACUGUCAAUAUCAUCGAUAUUUAGGAUGUAAUAAGUUCGGGAAAAUUGACCUUGUAGUAGGUCUUACAUCAUAUCUGGAGUAGAAAAGUUUUGACGGCAUAAAGGGCUAACUAAAAGUACUUACGGUACUGGGGUAGUUACACAGAAAGGUGCUACAUAGGACAUAGACAGGAAAAUGAUUCCUUAAAAAAAGGAAGGAAAGUAAAGCAUCUCCUACUGGUGACGGUCAUCCGUCUAGUGAGUGCUUAGUUAAGCCAGUUGACGUUCCAUAUCUAGCAUGUGUCUUUCGUACACCCUCUGGCGUACUCGGAGCUUUAUGACUUCGACUCGAGUUUCAGCUAGUGCUUGCAGCAAAGCCUCGUGGUCUCUCUCAGAUCUCUCACGAGCAUUUUCAAGGUGGGUGGUAUGCAUUCUUGCAUUUUCAAGAUGAGUGGUACGGAUGGUAUGUAUUCUUGCAUUGGCAUCAACCUCUGUGAUGUGAUGAAGAGCUGUCCUGCCCUGGAUUUCGUUUCGGGCAACCCCAUGGACUAGGAUUGGCAGAAACCAGUUUGAUGAGCUUCCCUCGCUCAAGUUAUAGAAACUUCGGUCUCCGUUGAUUGGCAUGGAAUGAUCUUGUUCUUCGCUCCAUGUCUCCAAGCAUUCUAUCCAAGGAGGCGUCGGGCCUUGAAUAGCCGGACGAGGGUUAGGAUUUGGGUUGGCAGCCACAAGGGGCAGGUUCUCAACCUCAAGCUCAGAGUUAGCUCCAUCCGAAAAGCCUUCAGUAUGGUGAUCGUCCAAAGGGAUUGGAUGAUCAUAUUCUGGCUCUUCUCCAAACCAUCUGACAUUGCCUUCGUUCGGGAAAUAUGGGUCGCCAUAGGGAUGGGGUGCAACCAUGCUAUCUACGCGAGAAAUGAGGAUAAAGAAAUAAUUACUAGAUGUACUAUCUGGAUAAUUUUAAGAUAAUCUUCAUCAGUUACUUCAAUAUUUGUGGAGUGCAUACCAUUUAUAUGUAAUCAAAACAGGAUAGGCCUUCGAAUAAGUGACCUUAACUCCAAAUUCACAAGGAACAGGGGGUAAAGCAAAAUUCAUAGAUUCUAAGUCUAUGUCAUCCCAGUUAUAUAUAACCUUAGUGUAUCCACUUAGCAACUAUUGACCUACUAAUGAGGAUCUUUAAUUCUCAACUAAGUAAUUAUAGUAACACAAAAAUACUCCUAAUGUCUUCAUUGUAGUAGUGUUGGCAAGUUUUUAGACUUGUUGCCAUAUCACAACCAUUCUUGGGCAUAUGCUAAUCACUCCUCGGACCAGCAUAGUUGAUCAAGCUAUGCCACACCCAUGACUGACCAUACAUCCCCGAGCUUACUUGUGAUAUUCAACAAUCGUAACACUUUUGUUUUUGUCACUGUGACACUGAUUUUAGUAUGAAUGCAUGCAUGUACACUUAGUUAAAUAUUUUAUUAUUUAAAAGUAUAAACUCUUGGUCAGAGUAUUUUAAUCCCAUUGUAUUUAUAGUCUGUAUAUCUUUUAUGGGUUGAUAUACUCAAUUCACUAUAAACAAUGCUAUGAUACCAAUCUGUCACACCCCAAAACUAAGAACGACGGAAACGUUGUGGGGCGGAGGACGUCAUGUAAAGUAUCACAACAGUGCAAAGUAGUAAACAAGCAACAACAUCAUCCAUUGCAUUAAUAGUAAAAUUUUUAUACAUGAGUGUUCUUUUAUAGAAUAAGACAUGAUAAGUAAUCAAAAUAAAAGAUGAGUCUUGACUGCUCCGUCUUCUCAAACCCUGGUCAUCGUACCUGUCUACUGGUGACCUGAGAGUACAAGUUAUUUUGAAAGCGUAGAUCCACAUUUAAGCUGGUGAAUUCAUAAGUAUUUUAGUGUCAUUGAUUAGUAAACUUGUAAAGAAAAGACUUGUAAAUGUUUAGUGAAAAAGUUUGUAUAAGUAUGAAAACCUAGAAAAUCCCAUAUUUCCUAUUAGUAUAAAAAGUAGUCUUCUACCAAGACCCGACUGUUUUGAAGGUUUGCUUCGCUGUAAAAAUGAAGGUUUUUCCCAUGUAUAACUAUUAUUAUCAAAAUAUCGCCUUAUAUUACCCUUUAUGUGAGAAGAUCACAAUUUGAAUAUAAUGGGAAAUUGUAUAUGUGUACUACAGUAUUAUUUGUAUUAAUCACUGAAGUAAUAACUAUCUUAAAACCAGUGGUUUAAAUAAGGAAAAAUGUGAUAUGAUUGUUACCAUACUAAUCUAACUAUAACACGACGAUGAAAGACGUCGGAAGAAAUGACAUUUGGCACCCAUAGACUUCCAAGUCCCACUGUAGCGAACAUCAAAGGUAUAGGAUAGUCAAUCUAGUAUAGAUCUAUAUGCAAGCUCACGCUCUCCCUCCAGAAGAUUUUGGUUACAAAACGUGACAUAAUGAAAUGGUCGAUGUGUCAUGAAGUAGUAUCUCACAUUAUGUUAUCUCUAAAGCUUGUUAUAGUAAUAGUAUUCUAUGUAUAGUAUUCUCUAUAUAGUAUCCUUUAUAUAGUAUUCUCUGUUAUAUUAUUCUCUGUCUAGUAUUCUCUGUUAUAGUAUCUAAUAGUAUCUCUUCAUAAAGUAUGUAAUCGUAUCUCUUCAUAUAGUAUGUAGUAUAUUUGUAUAGACUCAUGAUGAACUUACUCUUGUGUGAUUCCUUAUACUAGGAAUAGUAAGUAGUAUAGCUCUAAACUAUACCUAUUAUAGUUUACUAGAAAUGUAUGUAAUAGCAUCAUGAUGGCCACUAUGACAGCCGAGCUCCAAAAGUGCUAUGAGGACUAUUAUCCUUUUGAGAUGCACCAGGAUUUGAUGGACCGCUACCAUCAUAGUGCUCGUCAACAGCGAUAUGAAAUAAUCUCCUCCAUGAUAACAACCCAAAUGAAGGAUGGUGAACCCAUCACGGGCCACAUGUAGAAAAUGCAAAGGUAUGUUGACCGUUUGCAGAAAUUGAAUGUGAACUUCCUUGAGGAGUUGGCAAUUGACAUCAUUUUGUACUCCUUACCUUCGUGUUAUGAUCAAUUCCGCAUGACAUACCACAUGAACAAGGAGGAAGUCACACUCAGCAAACUUCAAGGACUUCUGAAGACCACCAGAAGUGGUCUUAAAGGUAUGUCGGUUGUUACUACUCCUAAUCCUACAACUACCCCUGUUUUGGCUAUCGGGCAAGGCAAAGGGAAGAAGAGGAAGGCCCAUUCGAAGGGUACCAAGGGAAAGUAUCUUGAUGGCUCCUCAUCAAGUGGAAUCAAAAGUGGUUCUGCUACUCCUUCUGCCAUACCUAAGGAUGUUGAAUGCUUCUAUUUCCAGAAUAAGGGGCAUUGGAAGCAAAACUGCCCAAAGUACUUGCACAAUGUCAAGGAUGGGAAAGUGAAACCAUCCCAUGCAGGUAUUUACACUAUAUUGUCUAAUAGAUUACCAUAUUCUAAGUCUUGGGUCCUUGAUACAGGUUGUGGUAUUCACAUUUGUUGUGGUUUGCAGGGCCUAAGAAGUGAGG
rnacentral:lncRNA from 1 species